rnacentral:misc_RNA from 1 species
AACGCACAUUGCGCCCCUUGGUAUUCCAUGGGGCAUGCCUGUUCGAGCGUCAUCUACACCCUCAAGCUCUGCUUGGUGUUGGGCGUCUGUCCCGCCUCUGCGCGCGGACUCGCCCCAAAGGCAUUGGCAGCGGUCCACGGCCCCUCUCGCGCAGCACAUUGCGCUUCUCGAGGCGGCCCGGCCCGCAUCCACGAAGCCCACAUUACCGUCUUUGACCUCGGAUCAGGUAGGGAUACCCGCUGAACUUAA